rnacentral:rRNA from 1 species
UACGUAGGGUGCGAGCGUUAAUCGGAAUUACUGGGCGUAAAGCGUGCGCAGGCGGUUCGUUGUGUCCGAUGUGAAAGCCCCGGGCUUAACCUGGGAAUGGCAUUGGAAACUGGCGGGCUUGAGUGCGGCAGAGGGGGGUGGAAUUCCGCGUGUAGCAGUGAAAUGCGUAGAGAUGCGAAGGAACACCGAUGGCGAAGGCAGCCCCCUGGGUCGACACUGACGCUCAGGCACGAAGCGUGGGGAGCAAACAGG